GCGCGAAAACUUUACAAUGCUGGCAACAGCGAUAAGGGAACCUCGAGUGCCAGGUUACAAAUCUGGCUGUCGAGAUGCCUAAAAAAGCAUUUCAUAGCAAGGGCCGGGCAAGACCGGUGCCAGCCGCCGCGGUAACACCGGCGGCUCGAGUGGUAACCGUUAUUAUUGGGUCUAAAGGGUCUGUAGCCGGCCGGAUAAGUCUCUUGAGAAAUCUGGCAGCUUAACUGUCAGGCUUUCAGGAGAUACUGUCUGGCUCGAGGCCGGGAGAGGUGAGAGGUACUUCAGGGGUAGGGUGAAAUCUUGUAAUCCUUGAAGGACCACCAGUGGCGAAGGCGUCUCACCAGAACGGACCUGACGGCAAGGGACGAAAGCUAGGGGCACGAACCGGAUUAGAGACCC
rnacentral:rRNA from 1 species